AAUACGGUUUCGGUGAGAUAACGUUGUGUGUGCAUAAAGAUGUCAGCGUUUGUACUAUAACAUAAUGACAGUUCAAAAAAAAAGAACAUUGCAACUAUUGUACGCAAUUACCAGUAAAUUUUCCAAUUUUGAAUUAUUUCUCAAGUAUAUGUUUUCAAAAUAAAUUCUGGACCUGGCAAACAAACUAGGUAUACCACGUGACAUCCCAAGUACACAGCCUUGAAGUAUACAACUCCAACACAUCGAAGUGAACAUUGCAACACUAUCAUGAUUGUAUACAUUGGCCAAGUUACCUAUCAAAAUCUGUUACGUUUUAAAUUAGCACAAAAAUUAAAAAUUAGAAUAAUUUCUUUGAAAUUUAUAUUUUGA